AACAAACGCUGGCGGCGUGCCUAAUACAUGCAAGUCGAACGGGGAAAGCUUUCGGGUGAGUACUAGUGGCGCACGGGUGAGUAACGCGCGGAUAAUCUGCCUUAGAGUGGGGGAUAACUAGUCGAAAGAUUAGCUAAUACCGCAUAAGACCACAAGAACUGCGGUUCAAGGGGUCAAAGGUUUUUCGCUCUAAGAUGAGUCCGCGUAAGAUUAGCUAGUUGGUAGGGUAACGGUCUACCAAGGCGACGAUCUUUAACUGGUCUGAGAGGAUGAUCAGUCACACUGGAACUGAGACACGGUCCAGACUCCUACGGGAGGCAGCAGUAGGGAAUAUUGCACAAUGGAGGAAACCCUGAUGCAGCGACGCCGCGUGAGUGAUGAAGGCCUUCGGGUCGUAACGCUCUGUCGCAGGGGAAUAACACAAUGAAGGUACCCUGUAAGAAAGGAUCGGCUAACUUCGUGCCAGCCGCCGCCGUAAGAC
rnacentral:rRNA from 1 species